AUUGAACGCUGGCGGCAGGCCUAACACAUGCAAGUCGAGCGAGCGGCGGACGGGUGAGUAAUGUAUGGGGACUGCCCGAUAGAGGGGGAUAACUACUGGAAACGGUGGCUAAUACCGCAUCCUAUCGGAUAACCCAUAUGGGAUUAGCUAGUAGGUGGGGUAAAGGCUCACCUAGGCGACGCUCCCUCGCUGGUCUGAGAGGAUGUUAAGUCACACGGGCAAUGAGACAGGGACCAGACUCCUACGGGGUCAGCAGUGGGGAAUAUUGAACAAUGUGCGCAAGCCUGAUGCAGCCAUGCCGCGUGUAGGAAGAAGGCCUUAGGGUUGUAAAGUACUUUCAGCGGGGAGGCGUUACCCGCAGAAGAAGCACCGGCUAACUCCGUGCCAGCAGCCGCGGUAAUUC
rnacentral:rRNA from 1 species